GACGAACGCUGGCGGCGUGCUUAACACAUGCAAGUCGAACGGUAAGGCCCUUCGGGGUACACGAGUGGCGAACGGGUGAGUAACACGUGGGUGAUCUGCCCUGCACUUCGGGAUAAGCCUGGGAAACUGGGUCUAAUACCGGAUAGGACCACUGCCUGCAUGGGUGGUGGUGGAAAGCUUUUGCGGUGUGGGAUGGGCCCGCGGCCUAUCAGCUUGUUGGGGGGGUGAUGGCCUACCAAGGCGACGACGGGUAGCCGGCCUGGGAGGGUGACCGGCCAGACGGGGAGGGAGAUACGGCCCAGGCUCCUACGGGAGGCAGCAGUGGGGAAUAGUGGACAAUGGGCGCAAGCGUGAUGCGGCGACGCCGCGUGAGGGAGGACGGCCUUCGGGUUGUAAACCUCUUUCAGCACCGACGAAGCGCAAGUGACGGUAGGUGCAGAAGAAGGACCGGCCAACUACGUGCCAGCCGCCGCGGUAA
rnacentral:rRNA from 1 species